rnacentral:rRNA from 1 species
CAAACCAAAAGCUGGCGACCGGCGCACGGGUGAGUAACACGUAUCCAACCUGCCUCAUACUCGGGGAUAGCCUUUCGAAAGAAAGAUUAAUAUCCGAUAGCAUAUAUUUCCCGCAUGGGUUUUAUAUUAAAGAAAUUCGGUAUGAGAUGGGGAUGCGUUCCAUUAGUUUGUUGGGGGGUAACGGCCCACCAAGCUCGAUGGAUAGGGGUUCUGAGAGGAAGGUCCCCCACAUUGGAACUGAGACACGGUCCAA